GAUGAACGCUGGCGGCGUGCCUAAUACAUGCAAGUCGAGCGAACGGACGAGAGGCUUGCUUCUCUGAUGUUAGCGGCGGACGGGUGAGUAACACGUGGAUAACCUACCUAUAAGACUGGGAUAACUUCGGGAAACCGGAGCUAAUACCGGAUAAUAUUUUGAACCGCAUGGUUCAAAAGUGAAAGACGGUCUUGCUGUCACUUAUAGAUGGAUCCGCGCUGCAUUAGCUAGUUGGUAAGGUAACGGCUUACCAAGGCAACGAUGCAUAGCCGACCUGAGAGGGUGGUCGGCCACACUGGAGCUGCGACACGGACCAGGCUCCUACGGGAGGCAGCAGUAGGGAAUCUUCCGCAAUAGGCGAAAGCCUGACGGAGCAACGCCACGUGAGUGAUGAAGGUCUUCGGAUCGUAAAACUCUGUUAUUAGGGAAGAACAUAUGUGUAAGUAACUGUGCACAUCUUGACGGUACCUAAUCAGAAAGCCACGGCUAACUACGUG
rnacentral:rRNA from 1 species